AUUAAAGCUUUUUAUUAAAGUAUCUCUGCAUGGCAAUUUAUUUCAUGUUGUUGCAUAUGUUAUUGUUGCAGAUUACAUUUAUUUUACAUUUAGGGAAAGCAAUGUGCAUGGUGAAAGGAUAAAAUUCAUUUCAGUAGCAUCUUAAUAGAUAUUUAAGUGAUGCUUUUGACAAAUAAAACAUUCAUAGUUAAAUAAAGUGAAAUUUAGGUUGGAAUUGUUUGUAUAGAUGAUGCAAAACUGUACAAGCAAGUUAGCUAGGAAGAUGCUACAGAUACCAGCAGUAUUAUACAGAAAAGAAAGAUGGUCAGCUGAUUGGUUAUUUGAAACUGAUACCAAGAAACACAGAAUAGAUUUAAGAACUGAGAAGGACGUCUUGUACUUCAUUCAUGUGAGCAAUAAUAUAUUGCAAAUGGAAACAUUUAUUAUUAUAUAGUUUAUUAUGAAUAAGCAAAAUACAAAUUAAUUUCGAUAUUUACAUAUAAUUUAAAUAUUUUUAAACAGUUUACUAUUGUAUAUUUAUAUUUAAUUAAAAGG
rnacentral:lncRNA from 1 species